CAAAUCCAGCGAGCAGUUCCUUUUCUUUCUGCCUGAUUCACUUACACUAGUGUAGCUUUACUGACUUCUGUUGAGUUACUCCUGAGUUAUGCUGGAAUUAUUGAGAGGUAAAUCAGCCCCCUUAGAUUUGAGUUUCAGGCUGGAGCCAAUAUGUCAAAUAUAAUGUAUUGCCUUAAAAAUGUGUUUUGCACCCAUCAUACAUCCACAACUGAACCAAAGUGGGUCUUCAACACCAUAAGGUACUUAAAGGAACUUUUUCUUGCUUUUUAUAUACCCAUCAUGUUACAGGCACUUGGAAGCUUGAAUGUCACCAAGGAGUGAUACAGAGGAUCAUGCUAAUAAAGACAAGUGACCAAAUUCAUCCCUGAUGUAAACUAGCAAGGAUUCUAGAGUCACAACUUUUCCUGAAGUGCACUGGCUUUGCCUUUGGCUAAUUCUGUGGUAAUAAUCCCUUUACGGCGAAGGAGUAAUUUUCUUCUUCACUGCUGAAUCUGAUGCGUUAAUUUUUCCACCCAAUUUUCCACCACUCUUCAUUUUCCUUCUGGUCUCCCAAUCGCUUCCAGUACAUUUCCUCUUACCUUAAAUGACUGAAUUAUUGCUGAACCACAAAGAACCAGUCUAUAAAACUCAAACAGAUACUUAGUCUCCUUACUGUGGUUUGGGAAUGGGAAUCAAAGUAAAGAUCCUUUAUUUAAAAGACUUGUCUUCGUUAAUACUUGUCUUCAGCUGUCCUCAUAAAAUCCAAGUGUUUCCCCUAUGCACAUUUCUAGAAUAUAAGCCAGGAUCAACAAUCCGUCCAAAGGACUUCAAUGCAGUGUAAUUGUGACUAGAUCAAGCAAACAGUAGAUGUUAUACUUACAUUGCUUAAGCCUUGUCACAUACUUUACACUGGUGACUUCAAUGGAUUUAUUCCUGAUAGGCACCAGAAUAAGUGAGAUCAGGAUUAGUCUAAUCUUUUUAUUUAUUUUCACAUCAGUAUCUCUGCCUACAUUUUACAUUUACAAAAAGAGAGCAAGACAGAUGUUCCCAAAGCAGAAGUAAUAUUUCUUCUUUGUACCAAUUUUAAUGGGUCCAAAAACCACAUACGUGUGUCACUGAACUUUCACAUGUGUUACAUAAGUCUCUGUAGACUAUGCAAAUAACAUACUAUUUAUGUGUGUUGGUUGUCUAUUCAUAUGAAUUUUAUUUUCUCUGGUCAAGUCACUAGUGUUAUGAAACUAUGUUUUAAAGUAGGACUUUGGCACUGGGGAAAUCUUUCAAAUAUGUCAUGUUAAAUUAGCAGAAAAGGAAAAUAUAUUUAAUUAUUCUCAUUUAACUACUGUAAGUGUGUGUUUCAGUCAAUGAUUUGUUCCUUCUGCUCUUUUUAUUGUAAAGCGGUUAUGUAAAAUGCUGGAGCGUGACACCACAAUAGUUUCCAUAUCCGCACACUGGAAACGCCAUCAGCCAAUCAGAUGCCUCCCUUUAGAAGUAACUUUUAUAUAUUAUAAAUCAAGAUGAGACCAAGCCACACAGUUUGGCUCCAGAUCUGAACUUUCCCAAUAUCUAAGGGCUCUCUGGAUAUGAGCUUCAGUUCAUAGACUGCAUGAAGCCUGCAGCAUGUUUGAUCAACUUCAACACAAAGAGUAAUAUUAUUCACUGUAAACUAAAAACUUCAGGUAAUAGACUUGUUGUUAGAAGUAAGGAAAGUGAAAGAAGGUAUGAGAAAUGAAAACUCCUUCACCUACAGUAAAGUGUCAUGUGUCUGUGUGUGUGCAAAAAUCUGGGCUCUGUUAGUCCCAAACUCUUUUUCACCAGGUACCCCACUGUUGCAAAGAAGCAGACCUUUACAAUGUCGUGUCCUCUGGAAUUCUCUGUGCUGGCUGCCCAGCUCUCUCUCUGAAGUACCAGAGCAGUAGCAGCUUGAAACAAGGAUGAAGAGCCAGCACCAUGAGCCCAGCCUGCUCUCCACAGAGCCACCAGCAAAUGCCCAAGAGUCUGGGAAUUGCUGGUAUAUCAGAAUUCUAAUAUUCUGGCUGCAGCUCAACAGGAAACUAGAUUUGUAGUCGUUGCAAUUUACAGAUGUAUCAAACCUUUAUGCCAGGCACUGGAAAUUCUAACCCCGACAAACUAUUGGCUUCUACAUCCUAUCGCCUUCUACAUCCUAUCAUCCUGUUACGGAAUAAAUAUCAUGGCCUUGAGUACAUUAGGUUCAGCUUUCCUCCUAUUUACACAUUCUCCAACUCCUCAAUAAAAUUAGGAGGAGCGCUGCUCUAACAUUCUGUCUGUCAGAAGAAUCUCAGCUGCAUUCAGUGUCAUCAUUAUGUGCAUAUACUUUACAUUAUCUUGUAACAUGUGAAAACAUAUUCAAAGUGCUGUCCGAAUAUCAAUGUUAAAUAAGGCAUCAUUGCAAAUAGGUCAGAGAUAAGGUACCAUUUUUGUCAUUUCACAAACUGAAUAAUAUAUACUUACAGGAUCAAAAAAGUAUGCAAGAAAUGUAGUUUAUCAGAGGGACUGUAACCUUAAAUUCCUCUGUACAUUGAUACUAUGUUUGCUCCCUGAACUAAUGCCUAUCAACAUAUCUGGUACGAUGACCUCUUGUGAUCAGUCUCACACAUCUAUUUGGUACCUUUGUUUACAACCUGCAACAUUUCCUCAAUUUUAGGCAUAAUUUUAGAUUCUGUAUUCUCUAAGGAAUAGAUAGUGGAUCUGCCACAUGCCCCAGACGUGGGAUCAGGUGUUGGUGCACAGGCCCCAAGAUAAAAAUUGUGCCGCAGAGAGGCAUGAUUCCCUCCCUACUUCCCCUUUGGAUUAGGUGAGUAGUUGUUUGCUUCUGGUGCCUACCAACACCAAAUUACUACCCUUUCCAGACUGGCUCCUCUGGGUUAGCCAGUGCAUUGUGGGGCAGAGCUAAGGUUCUUCUCUCUUCCUGCUCACCUGCUUGGCCUGGGAGGAGUAGUUGGCAUUGAGCGCCUACUCAUUGCUGUGCACUGGGACACAAGGUCCGGAUAGCCUAUGCAGGUGUGUAAGGGUGUGUGUGGUUCUUAUCCCCCCUUAUACCAAAGUGUGCAUUCCCAAGUAAAUUAGCUCUAAAUCAUGUACUGGCAAUGGAAUUACCUUUUUAACAAGAGUUUGUAGUCCUGAGUAUUGUAAUCUAUAGGACUCAAAAUAAAUAGGAAAGUUCCAGCCCUAUGCGUUGGGAUAACGAUGCUUUAGCAUGACCAGCUGGUGAGCUAAGGAAUUCCAAGUCUUGUAGCUGGUUACUUGAAGGUGUUGUUUCUAGCUGUACAAGUCAAAAUUAGCCUUAAUACCUUAGCUUCCUUGUUUUAG